rnacentral:rRNA from 1 species
CGAAAGGGUGACGAAGCGACGCCGCGUGUGGGAAGAAGGCCUUCGGGUUGUAAACCACUGUCAGGAGUUAAGAAAUGUAAGGGUGCUAAUAGUAGCCUUACUUGACUAAGGCUCCAGAGGAAGCCACGGCUAACUCUGUGCCAGCAGCCGCGGUAAUACAGAGGUGGCAAGCGUUGUUCGGAAUUAUUGGGCGUAAAGAGCACGUAGGCGGUUCUGCAAGUCGGCUGUGAAAGCCUUCCGCUCAACGGAAGAACAGCAGUUGAUACUACAGGACUCGAGUGCGGGAGGGGAGAGUGGAACUUCUGGUGGAGCGGUGAAAUGCGUAGAUAUCAGAAGGAACGCCGGCGGCGAAAGCGACUCUCUGGCCCGUAACUGACGCUGAGUGUGCGAAAGCUAGGGGAGCAAACGGGAUUAGAUACCCCGGUAGUCCUAGCCGU